UCCCAGGAGGUCAAGUGUCUGAUGGACCA
rnacentral:piRNA from 1 species